AGCGAACGCUGGCGGCAGGCUUAACACAUGCAAGUCGAGCGGGCACUUCGGUGUCAGCGGCAGACGGGUGAGUAACACGUGGGAACGUACCCUUCGGUUCGGAAUAACGCUGGGAAACUAGCGCUAAUACCGGAUACGCCCUUUUGGGGAAAGGUUUACUGCCGAAGGAUCGGCCCGCGUCUGAUUAGCUAGUGGGUGGGGUAAUGGCCUACCAAGGCGACGAUCAGUAGCUGGUCUGAGAGGAUGAUCAGCCACACUGGGACUGAGACACGGCCCAGACUCCUACGGGAGGCAGCAGUGGGGAAUAUUGGACAAUGGGCGCAAGCCUGAUCCAGCCAUGCCGCGUGAGUGAUGAAGGCCUUAGGGUUGUAAAGCUCUUUUGUCCGGGACGAUAAUGACGGUACCGGAAGAAUAAGCCCCGGCUAACUUCGUG
rnacentral:rRNA from 1 species